GACAGAGGUGCCGAGCGUUAGGCGGAAUCACUGGGCUUAAAGCGUGUGUAGGCGGAUCGUUAAGUGCCUUGUGAAAUCCCACGGCUCAACCGUGGAACUGCUUGGCAUACUGGCGAUCUUGAGCCACUUAGGGGCUACCGGAACAAAUGGUGGAGCGGUGAAAUGCGUAGAUAUCAUUUGGAACGCCAAUGGUGAAAACAGGUAGCUGGGAGUGUGCUGACGCUGAGACACGAAAGCCAGGGGGAGCAAAACGGGG
rnacentral:rRNA from 1 species